UACGUAGGCAGCGAGCGUUGUUCGGAGUUACUGGGCGUAAAGGGUGUGUAGGCGGUUGUUUAAGUUUGGGGUGAAAUCUCCCGGCUCAACUGGGAGGGUGCGCCGAAUACUGAGUGACUAGAGUGCGGGAGAGGAAAGUGGAAUUCCUGGUGUAGCGGUGAAAUGCGUAGAUAUCAGGAGGAACACCGGUGGUGUAGACGGCUUUCUGGACCGUAACUGACGCUGAGACACGAAAGCGUGGGUAGCAAACAGG
rnacentral:rRNA from 1 species